rnacentral:rRNA from 1 species
UACGUAGGGUGCGAGCGUUGUCCGGAAUUAUUGGGCGUAAAGAGCUUGUAGGCGGUUUGUCGCGUCUGCUGUGAAAUCUCAAGGCUCAACCUUGAGCUUGCAGUGGGUACGGGCAGACUAGAGUGGCGGUAGGGGAGACUGGAAUUCCUGGUGUAGCGGUGAAAUGCGCAGAUAUCAGGAGGAACACCGAUGGCGAAAGGCAGGUC